AUUGCUCUUUAUAGUCAUUUACGUUACAGUCCGUAUGGUUGAUACACUCAAACACUGCGAGCCUUCUUUGUCAGAAACUUCUCAGUUGUACUUACUCGACCUAGGGCCAAUACGACCGAUGCUAGGGAAAAUUCAAGGACAUCCCAGCAUUCCCCGGUCGCCGUUCAGUGAGAGAGUUCUUCUAAACAUGGCGGCCUGUCGUGCACGCGGCGCAUCGUUCCCCGCGUUUACGAACAUUUCAAAGUAGAUUAUACGGCAAUAUUCGUUAUCGCAGCCGAUCGACACACUUUUGCAGACGCCACAGAUACAGAGGAACAUUCGCGUUAGUUGGAACACCUCUGGCGCUUUGCUGACAUUUACCCAGGACACACAUUGUCGAUGCUGCUGCAAUUGAGGCCUUCACACAUGCGAGAUGAAGUGAGUUGGACAGACAUCAUCUGACGUAUCAUGUAUUCGUGUUAGCGUCGCGAAGGAACUGUGGCUAUGAGUGGCGUGCAGACGUGCACAGAUGGAGAGAGGACAGCAGGAAGGAGUAUAGGGC